rnacentral:rRNA from 1 species
GUAGGUGGCAAGCGUUGUCCGGAAUUAUUGGGCGUAAAGAGCAUGUAGGCGGGCUUUUAAGUCUGACGUGAAAAUGCGGGGCUUAACCCCGUAUGGCGUUGGAUACUGGAAGUCUUGAGUGCAGGAGAGGAAAGGGGAAUUCCCAGUGUAGCGGUGAAAUGCGUANAUAUUGGGAGG